rnacentral:rRNA from 1 species
CGCGAGGAACCUUACCUGGGCUCAAAUGUAUGUUGACGUAUUCUGAAAGGGAUACUUCUUCGGACAAUAUACAAGGUGCUGCAUGGUUGUCGUCAGCUCGUGCCGUGAGGUGUCGGGUUAAGUCCCAUAACGAGCGCAACCCCUAUCAUUAGUUGCCAUCAGGUCAAGCUGGGGACUCUAAUGAAACUGCCUACGCAAGUAGUGAGGAAGGUGGGGAUGACGUCAAAUCAGCACGGCCCUUACGUCCAGGGCUACACACGUGCUACAAUGGCCGAUACAGAGGGCAGCUACCUGGUGACAGGAUGCAAAUCUCCAAAGUCGGUCUCAGUUCGGAUCGGAGUCUGCAACCCGACUCCGUGAAGUUGGAUUCGCUAGUAAUCGCGCAUCAGCCAUGGCGCGGUGAAUACGUUCCCGGGCCUU